GACGAACGCUGGCGGCGUGCUUAACACAUGCAAGUCGAACGAUGAAGCCGGAGCUUGCUCUGGUGAAUUAGUGGCGAACGGGUGAGUAACACGUGAGUAACCUGCCCUUGACUCUGGGAUAACUGCGGGAAACUGUAGCUAAUACCGGAUACGACCCUCGGCGGCAUCGCCAGGGGGUGGAAAGAAUUUCGGUCAAGGAUGGACUCGCGGCUUAUCAGCUAGUUGGUGAGGUAACGGCUCACCAAGGCGACGACGGGUAGCCAGCCUGAGAGGGUGACCGGCCACACUGGGACUGGGACACGGCCCAGACUCCUACGGGGGGCAGCAGUGGGGAAUAUUGCACAAUGGGCGCAAGCCUGAUGCAGCAACGCCGCGUGAGGGAUGACGGCCUUCGGGUUGUAAACCUCUUUUAGUAGGGAAGAAGCGAAAGUGACGGUACCUGCAGAAAAAGCACCGGCUAACUACGUGCCAGCCGCCGCGGUAA
rnacentral:rRNA from 1 species